rnacentral:rRNA from 1 species
UACGUAGGUGGCGAGCGUUAUCCGGAAUGAUUGGGCGUAAAGGGUGCGUAGGCGGCCUGCUAAGUCUGGAGUGAAAGGUACCGGCUCAACCGGUACAGGCUCUGGAAACUGUAUAGCUGGAGUGCAGGAGAGGUAAGUGGAAUUCCUAGUGUAGCGGUGAAAUGCGUAGAUAUUAGGAGGAACACCAGUGGCGAAGGCGGCUUACUGGACUGUAACUGACGUUGAGGCUCGAAAGCGUGGGGAGCAAACAGG